ACCUUGAUUUACUUGUGGUAAGACCUUUUUAAUGUAUGUCUAAAUUUUAGGGUAUAGCUUACUUAUGUGCAAGGGGAAAUUCAUAAGUGAUUAAGCUAGUAUCGUAUUUAAAGUUAUAUGAAGGGUUUUAGCCUCAUUUUACCUUAGGCCUUCUCUACAGGUCUCAGAAGGGACUUUCUCCUUUCCUUCCUAACUAAACAGCCUUAUGAACAAGUGUUUUGUGACCUAAUGCAUUCAUCAUAUUUUUUCAAUCUGGUUGUUAAUAGCUGAUUUGAAUGCUUUACAUUGUCAAAUCUUGUGAACUUGUAAGUCAGAAAUAAAACAGACUUUUUCUAUAACAAGGAAACUGAAUCAUGGAUUGUGAGUCCCAAAUUUACAAAACACAUGAACAUUUUUGUACACACAAUUUUCCUUAUGAUUUUGUUUUUAUGGGAUUGCUUUGUGUUACAAUAUCUUCCAGACAGCCCUAAUGAAAAUUUUCAGCCCCCCCCCCCCCCCCCC